rnacentral:rRNA from 1 species
UCAGCCGGUACUCGCGAAUGCUCUAGAUUAAAGUUUGAUCAUGGCUCAGGNCGAACGCUNAGCGGCGUGCCUAAUACAUGCAAGUCGAGCGAACAGAGAAGGAGCUUGCUCCUUUGACGUUAGCGGCGGACGGGUGAGUAACACGUGGGCAACCUACCUUAUAGUUUGGGAUAACUCCGGGAAACCGGGGCUAAUACCGAAUAAUCUAUUUUACUUCAUGGUGAAAUACUGAAAGACGGUUUCGGCUGUCGCUAUAAGAUGGGCCCGCGGCGCAUCAGCUAGUUGGUGGGGUAAAGGCCUACCAAGGCGACGAUCUGUAGCGGGUCUGAGAGGAUGAUCCGCCACACUGGGACUGAGACACGGCCCAGACUCCUACGGGAGNGCAGCAGUGGGGAAUAUCGGACAAUGGGCGGAAGCCUGAUCCAGCCAUGCCGCGUGUGUGAAGAAGGCCUUAUGGUUGUAAAGCACUUUAAGCGAGGAGGAGGCUACCAGUAUUAAUACUACUGGAUAGUGGACGUUAACUCGCAGAAUC